rnacentral:rRNA from 1 species
ACAUGCCUACAAAAUAGUGUUAAUUCACUGGAUCCCAUUAGAAAUCCACAGUUAAGUGCACUCAGGCUAGAUUAGUACUGGGAUAGGUGCUCACCUGAGAAGUCCUAGUAUUUUACAUGCC